UACGAAGGGGACUAGCGUUGCUCGGAAUCACUGGGCGUAAAGGGCGCGUAGGCGGCCAAGUAAGUUGGGGGUGAAAGCCCGUGGCUCAACCACGGAAUUGCCUUCGACACUGCUUGGCUUGAGACCGGAAGAGGUGAGUGGAACUGCGAGUGUAGAGGUGAAAUUCGUAGAUAUUCGCAAGAACACCAGUGGCGAAGGCGGCUCACUGGUCCGGAUCUGACGCUGAGGCGCGAAAGCGUGGGGAGCAAACAGG
rnacentral:rRNA from 1 species